UACGGGGGGGGCAAGCGUUGUUCGGAAUUACUGGGCGUAAAGGGCGCGUAGGCGGCUUUUCAAGUGACGGGUGAAAUCCCUCGGCUUAACCGAGGAACUGCCUGUCAGACUGGAAGGCUUGAGACCGGGAGAGGUGAGUGGAAUUCCCAGUGUAGCGGUGAAAUGCGUAGAUAUCAAGAGGAACACCUGAGGUGAAGACGGGUUGCUGGGCUGACACUGACGCUGAGGCGCGAAAGCAUGGGGAGCGAACAGG
rnacentral:rRNA from 1 species